UACAGAGGCCUCGAGCGUUAGGCGGAAUCGCUGGGCUUAAAGCGUGUGUAGGCGGACUUCUAAGUCCCUUGUGAAAUCCCACGGCUCACCCGUGGAACUGCUUGGUAUACUGGUUGUCUUGAGCCUUCUAGGGGCGAGUGGAACAAAUGGUGGAGCGGUGAAAUGCGUAGAUAUCAUUUGGAACGCCAAUGGUGAAAACAACUCGCUGGGGAAGUGCUGACGCUGAGACACGAAAGCCAGGGGAGCGAACGGG
rnacentral:rRNA from 1 species